rnacentral:rRNA from 1 species
GACGAACGCUGGCGGCGUGCUUAACACAUGCAAGUCGAGCGGUAAGGCCCUUUCGGGGGUACACGAGCGGCGAACGGGUGAGUAACACGUGGGUGACCUGCCUUUAGCUCUGGGAUAAGCCUGGGAAACGUGGGUCUAAUACCGGAUAUGACCCUAUGGCGCAUGUUGUGGGGUGGAAAGCCUUGUGCGGCUAGGGAUGGGCCCGCGGCCUAUCAGCUUGUUGGUGGGGUGAUGGCCUACCAAGGCGACGACGGGUAGCCGGCCUGAGAGGGCGACCGGCCACACUGGGACUGAGACACGGCCCCAGACUCCUACGGGAGGGCAGCAGUGGGGAAUCUUGCGCAAUGGGCGAAAGCCUGACGCAGCGACGCCGCGUGA